UCGGGGACCGUGUCUGGUGGGUAGUUUGACUGGGGCGGUCUCCUCCUAAAGAGUAACGGAGGAGCACGAAGGUUGGCUAAGCAUGGUCGGACAUCAUGCGGUUAGUGCAAAGGCAUAAGCCAGCUUGACUGUGAGAGUGACGGCUCGAGCAGGUACGAAAGUAGGUCUUAGUGAUCCGGUGGUUCUGAAUGGAAGGGCCAUCGCUCAACGGAUAAAAGGUACUCCGGGGAUAACAGGCUGAUACCGCCCAAGAGUUCAUAUCGACGGCGGUGUUUGGCACCUCGAUGUCGGCUCAUCACAUCCUGGGGCUGAAGUAGGUCCCAAGGGUAUGGCUGUUCGCCAUUUAAAGUGGUACGCGAGCUGGGUUUAGAACGUCGUGAGACAGUUCGGUCCCUAUCUGCCGUGGGCGUUGGAAGAUUGAGAGGGGUUGCUCCUAGUACGAGAGGACCGGAGUGAACGCACCACUGGUGUUCGGGUUGUCAUGCCAAUGGCAUUGCCCGGUAGCUAAGUGCGGAAGAGAUAACCGCUGAAAGCAUCUAAGCGGGAAACUUGCCUCGAGAUGAGUCUUCCCUGUCACCUUGAGUGACCUAAAGGAACGUUUAAGACUAAGACGUUGAUAGGCUGGGUGUGUAAGCGUAGCGAUACGUUGAGCUAACCAGUACUAAUGAACCGUGAGGCUUAACCUG
rnacentral:rRNA from 1 species